rnacentral:sRNA from 1 species
UGCCAACGCACUGCCUCGUGGUCGGAGG